CACGGGGGGUGCAAGCGUUGUUCGGAAUCACUGGGCGUAAAGGGCGUGUAGGCGGCCAGGUAGGUCCGCUGUGAAAACUCGAGGCUCAACCUCGAGAUGUCGGCGGAAACCAUCUGGCUAGAGUCCGGAAGAGGAGAGUGGAAUUCCUGGUGUAGCGGUGAAAUGCGCAGAUAUCAGGAAGAACACCCGUGGCGAAGGCGGCUCUCUGGGACGGUACUGACGCUGAGACGCGAAAGCGUGGGGAGCGAACAGG
rnacentral:rRNA from 1 species